rnacentral:rRNA from 1 species
GGUUAAGCGACUAAGCGUACACGGUGGAUGCCCUGGCAGUCAGAGGCGAUGAAGGACGUGCUAAUCUGCGAUAAGCGUCGGUGAGGUGAUAUGAACCGUUAUAACCGGCGAUUUCCGAAUGGGGAAACCCAGUGUGUUUCGACACACUAUCAUUAACUGAAUCCAUAGGUUAAUGAGGCGAACCGGGGGAACUGAAACAUCUAAGUACCCCGAGGAAAAGAAAUCAACCGAGAUUCCCCCAGUAGCGGCGAGCGAACGGGGAGCAGCCCAGAGCCUGAAUCAGUGUGUGUGUUAGUGGAAGCGUCUGGAAAGGCGCGCGAUACAGGGUGACAGCCCCGUACACAAAAAUGCACAUGCUGUGAGCUCGAUGAGUAGGGCGGGACACGUGGUAUCCUGUCUGAAUAUGGGGGGACCAUCCUCCAAGGCUAAAUACUCCUGACUGACCGAUAGUGAACCAGUACCGUGAGGGAAAGGCGAAAAGAACCCCGGCGAGGGGAGUGAAAAAGAACCUGAAACCGUGUACGUACAAGCAGUGGGAGCCUCUUUUAUGGGGUGACUGCGUACCUUUUGUAUAAUGGGUCAGCGACUUAUAUUCUGUAGCAAGGUUAACCGAAUAGGGGAGCCGAAGGGAAACCGAGUCUUAACUGGGCGUUAAGUUGCAGGGUAUAGAC